GAUGAAGAACGCAGUGAAAUGCGAUACGUAAUGUGAAUUGCAGAAUUCAGUGAAUCAUCGAGUCUUUGAACGCACAUUGCGCCCCCUGGCAUUCCGGGGGGCAUGCCUGUCCGAGCGUCAUUGCUGCCCUUCAAGCCCGGCUUGUGUGUUGGGUCGUCGUCCCCCCCGGGGGACGGGCCCGAAAGGCAGCGGCGGCACCGCGUCCGGUCCUCGAGCGUAUGGGGCUUUGUCACCCGCUCGAUUAGGGCCGGCCGGGCGCCAGCCGGCGUCUCCAACCUUCUAUUUUACCAGGUUGACCUCGGAUCAGGUAGGGAUACCCGCUGAACUUAAGCAUAUCAAUAAGCGGAGGA
rnacentral:misc_RNA from 1 species